GACGAACCGUGCGAACGUUAUUCGGAAUUACUGGGCUUAAAGCGCGUGUAGGCGGGCCGGCACGUCGAGCGUUGAAAUCCCCCGGCUCAACCGGGGAAGUGGCCUCGAUACGACCGGCCUGGAGGGGGGUAGGGGAAUCGGGAACUUCCGGUGGAGCGGUGAAAUGCGUUGAGAUCGGAAGGAACGCCCGCGGCGAAAGCGCGGUUCUGGACCCCACCUGACGCUGAGACGCGAAAGCCAGGGAGCGAACGGG
rnacentral:rRNA from 1 species